GAAUCUCACAGAGACAACUGGUGCUC
rnacentral:piRNA from 1 species